UACGAAGGGUGCAAGCGUUGUUCGGAAUUACUGGGCGUAAAGCGCGCGUAGGCUGUUUGAUAAGUUGGAAGUGAAAUCCCGGGGCUCAACUUCGGAAUUGCUUUCAAAACUAUCAGACUAGAGUAUGGCAGGGGACAGUGGAAUUCCUAGUGUAGAGGUGAAAUUCGUAGAUAUUAGGAGGAACACCAGUGGCGAAAGCGACUGUCUGGACCAUUACUGACGCUGAGGCGCGAAAGCGUGGGGAGCAAACAGG
rnacentral:rRNA from 1 species